rnacentral:rRNA from 2 species
UGGCCCGAGCUGAACGCUGGCGGCGUGCCUAAUACAUGCAACGUCUCGAGCGAACUGAUUAGAAGCUUGCUUCUAUCUCGACGUUAGCGGCGGACGGGUGAGUAACACGUGGGCAACCUGCCUGUAAGACUGGGAUAACUCCGGGAAACCGGAGCUAAUACCGGAUAACAUUUUCUCUUGCAUAAGAGAAAAUUGAAAGAUGGUUUCGGCUAUCACUUACAGAUGGGCCCGCGGUGCAUUAGCUAGUUGGUGAGGUAACGGCUCACCAAGGCAACGAUGCAUAGCCGACCUGAGAGGGUGAUCGGCCACACUGGGACUGAGACACGGCCCAGACUCCUACGGGAGGCAGCAGUAGGGAAUCUUCCGCAAUGGACGAAAGUCUGACGGAGCAACGCCGCGUGAGUGAUGAAGGCUUUCGGGUCGUAAAACUCUGUUGUUAGGGAAGAACAAGUACAAGAGUAACUGCUUGUACCUUGACGGUACCUAACCAGAAAGCCACGGCUAACUACGUGCCAGCCGCCGCGGU